rnacentral:rRNA from 1 species
GAUUAGAUCUCAAAUCAGGUAG